UUUGUGCUUAUGGAACAUUUCAACUCAUGAAACAGGACACUUUACAUGUUGGGUUUAUUUUUGUUUAGUGCAUAUUUGAUCAACAAAACAGAAUUGUGUCCCUAGUGUCAUGAACAAACAUUAUCUAAUUGAUCUCUCAUGGAGAUAUACAAUUUGUAAGGCACUACACACUCCAAUUCCACCACUAUGUGCAUACUUUCCUCUGAUUUAAAGACUUUGCCAUCUAUCUUACUUUAUUUAGUAAAUGUCGGUAUUUUGCUAUGUGGUGAUACUGCAGCAUACACCCAAGCCAAUCACUAAAACUACAGAUUCUUUAACUUUCUUUGUAUAUUAUUAAUUAUUUGUGAGGCCAACUUGUGUAUAUACUAUAACCUGUCUCCUUGCUAUGCCACAUGUUAUUUUCAUCACUACCUUACCCACCGUGACCUCUGUUUUAGGUUCUUACUGGGAAUGGUUCCCAGACAACUAUACCACUAUCUUUCUGAAAAUAAUUGGUUUAGGAUUGAGAUUAACCUGAACCUGCAGCUCUCAGAUAAGACUGGUUUGGCAACUUGACAUUCUGAUUAGAUCAAGAUAACCUGCAUAAAGAAGAAAGAGGACCUUUUUAGACUUUAUAUUACUAUGCAGUUAUGAAGCAUCCUACCUUCCUCACCAACCAACCCUUGUCCUUGUAUCAGUAUCAUGAAAAGAAUGGACGUGGACUCCAGCAUAUAGAGUAACAAUCUGGAGAUGGAUAUUAACAGGCCCGAGAGAGAGACCAGGGGGGCUACGUAGAGAUAAAAAAAGAAGACAUCCUGUUCCUGUCUCCAUUCUCUACGCCUUAUUUCUGUUGACCAACUGUAUACUUGCUACUGUGAAUAUUCUCCACCAUUAUAGCAUUGCGUGAAAAAACAAUGUCACACGUUUUAGAUGGAAUAUAUUGGAUGAAAUUCAAAAAGGGGUUGUAUGUUUUGCCUACUAGUGUGAAGGCCUUAUCAAUCACUGGUUUCCUCUCCAUGUCUCGCAACUAUGGUCGAGUCACUUUAGUGAACAUCAUUUUAAGGGCAAUUGAGUGGUGUAUUUGACAGUUCAUAGAAGUAACCUGUGCCUGGCAGUCUGCCAGUGAAGUGUGAUAUAAAGCCAGUUAGGAAUUGCUCAGACAAAGGUAAGUCUAUUUGUUUUCUCCCUCCCUUGUGUCCUGUAAGAUUAUUUCAUUUAUUUCUUAGUGUUCAUUUUGGUACCUAAACAAACGGCUAUUUUUCUACAUUUUAAACAAAGU